rnacentral:lncRNA from 1 species
GGAGUUCCCAUUGUGGCUCCGUGGGUUGAGAAGCUGACUAAUAUCCAUGAGAAUGUGGCUUGGGUCCCCGGCCUUCACUCAGUGGGUGAAGGAUUCGGUGUUGCCACAAGGUGUGGUGUAGGUCGAAGAUGCCACUUGGAUCCCAUGUUGCUAUGCCUGCUUCUCCAAUUCGACCCCUAGCCCAGGAACUUCCAUACGCCGAGGGUGAGGACCUAAAAAAAGAAAAAAAACAAAAACAGAAACCCUCCCCCCUCAGGAUCUAAGUAAAAUCUUCAGAGUCCUGUGCCCCAGCCAAACCUACAUUCAGUAACACCCGCAUCUCUGCAGUUAAGACGGUCAGUAGGAGGGCGGGGGUCCUGUCUGGACUCCGUAUUUGGCUUUUAGCGCAGGCUUUGCACUUAGCGGGUGACCAUGGGUGGGGGGGCGGACAGAUGGGCAGGUGCAGACUGGCAUUCACAGGACCCAAAGGUACAGCUGCCCAAUGAUUGUCAUAAUGAAAUACAGUCCGUUCUCUUUAUUCACGAUAGUCAUGUUAACGUAGCCAUGAGUGCGGAAUUAGUGACUCCUGAGCCAUAGCUCCCAGGGGAAUACAGAAUUGGAUUCCUUUGAGCCCAUGCACCUAACAUCUUCAUCAGUCACCCAACAUACUGUUUUAUGUUUAUUUCUGUUUAAAUACACCUUUUUAAAUAUCUGUGGCUGAUUCAUUAAACUAUCACUCAUACCUGAAUGAAGCUCAGGUAACGCCCGUAUUUUCUCCAUGAGACACAUCACAGCCUUCUUGCACUUAGGAUCGUAGGCGCAACGCUUGGGGGUCGUUUUAAGCAGCGAAGUCAACAAAAAAGGCCCAACCUGCUGAAAGGAGGCACCGCAUAGACAGAAAAGGACGCUUGUUUACUGCAUGAGAGCUGAACCAAGAAGGCAGAGCAUGGCCUUGUUCCACCCCAGCUGAGAACAUGCGGCGCAUAGUGGCAGGUGACUCCAGUGUUUCACAGCGUGUCCCAGAAUGACCGCCCAAGGGGCAGGAGUUAUAGCUAAAUGUUCGUGAGUAGGCGAGUUCGCAAAGAGAGAAUCCGUGAAUAACGAGGUCGACGGUAAUUCCAUUCUGUUGGUGAAUCCCAGAUGCCCCUCCCCCUCCCCCCCAAAUUCAGCAUCUAAGGAUGGGCUGCCCAGUCCAGCAUGGCCCUCCAGCACCCCGUGCCAACUCUUGGGUCAGUGUCUGUGCCACGCCACGGCAGACUCUUGACUGGGGAGGUGGAUUUUGCUGCCUUGGCCCGCCCUGGAGGAGGGGUGAGGAAGCCUUGCCCUGCCCCCCCCUCCCCUCCCCCGCCUUCCCUACUGCACAUGAGGCCGCCCUGGUGAACCAGACCCACACGUGCAUAAAGGGAGGUGGGGUGAUACGAGCAGGCAGCCACCUGUGACUUCUCUAAGCCAAGCACUGCACCAGCACCUGGGGAAGACCCCCCUGGCGGUUUGGGGGAGCCUGUUUUGACCUGAUCUUUAUUUACGGCUCACAAAGGAAGUAAAUAAAUAGCUCUCUUUGUGUGUCUGUGUGGAUGUGCGCGUGCCAGACUGUAUGUGCCUGCUCCACACCGUUAAAAACCGUGAGCCGGCCCCAGAGGAAGUGGUAACAAAACGAUUGUUUGUUUUAUUUUCCAUUUACCCUCCCAUCCCUUCCUCACCUCCACCCUUUUAAUGGGUGCCCAGAGGUGUUCUUUGCAGGCCUGGGAUCCAGUCAUUUGUCCUUCCAUUUCUGCAUUCACUCAUGCUGGUGUGGGCAGAAGCCGCAGAGUGCCAGCUGCUGGCAUAUGUAAAAGUAGAGGAGAAAGUGAGAUGGGAAAAGGGUGCUUUGGUCUGCGGGCGCAACUUUCUUCCUUUAAGGACAUGUGCCGCACAGGGGAACAGGGGUCACCGUAUUCUCUCUCUGUGCCUCUUCUCUUUCCCUGCACCUGCCUGCCUACCCCAAGCCUCUGUGAGCGCUUGCCUGGAUUCCUCUGUAUUGCUAUAGCAUCCCAGCUCAGACUUUUGGAGGCUUCCUCCCCUGGGCCUGUGAAAUUAAAUUCCACUUGGGUGUUGGUUCUCCUAGCAUCUAGGCUCCACUCACCUGUCCAGCCCUCUUACCCACUUUAAACCUUCAUCGCCCCAUUCCUGCCCACAAGAGUGCCUGAUAGAUCCUGGGGCGCCCCUGCUUCCAUCAUUUUGCUCUCACCGUCCCCUCUUCUUGGAAUGCACUUUGUCCUCCUCCCAGCCAUCCCUGUCUGUCCCAACCUGGCCAUUCUUCAAGGCCUGGUUCAGAGCCACUCCACUGCUCCCCCCACAUCUUGCCUUCUGGGUUAGCAUGGCCUAAUGUAUGUUAGGUGUUGGUGCAACUUCUUGUGCUUGCCAGACCUUGAGCUCCUUGAGGACAGGGUCUGACCUUAAUCGGCUUGCCCCUCCUAUCAUUCGUUUAUUCAUUUAGCCCGUGUGAAGGGUGAGGGUUUGUGCCUGAUGACUCUGGGUUCCUGUGCUUGUUUCUCCAACGGUACCCAUCACCGCGUACAACACCCCCUUGGUAAAUGCAAAGUCCACCAAAUGAGGCUGCAAGCGUGAAGUCUUCAAGGACAAGGUCUCUAUGCUGUGGGCAUCUGCAGGUGAGGGCGAGCCCGGAAGGCUGGGGGUGAGGGCAGGGCUUCCGGAUUGCUGAGCAGUCUUUGUAAUAAACAGGUGGAGUUUGGAGGGUUGGGAGGGAGGUGGAGACAGGGGCAGGGCAGCAGCCAUGAGCAUCUUUGACCAGAGUCUGCGAUUCUUGCUCCAGGCCCUUACAUGUGUCCAGACCCUGGGAGGGCGCUGCAGAUGGAGACUUGAACCACUCACAUCCGUGGACAGGGUCCUUCUGAGGACCUGAUCCCCAGAGUGAAGCAAAGGAGGGCAGAGAGAGAUAGCCAAGAAUUUCCUGUGCUUUGGGUCAGAUACAGGUAGAGAGCAUGCAUGCAUACAUGCAUUCAGUCUUUAUUUUUUAAGGUUUAAAAAAAUUGUAAAAUGAUAAUUUUAAAAAACCUAAACCCAAAAUAUUAUAAAAUGAAUACUUGCUCAGUAUAGGAAAUUUGGACAAAAGAGAAAAAUGGGAAAAAGCUUGGGAAAUCAUGCAUAGUUCUUACCACUCAAAGAUAGCCCUCGUUUACAUCUAAAUGUCUUCCCUUUUAGCCUUCUGUCUUUUUUAUUGAAAUAACUGUCAUGCAAUUAUUUAAACACCUAUUUAGUACUUGAAAGUUUUUAUAUUUAAUGUUUCAGUUAAAUUCAUUAAAUUGAAUAGUGAAAAAAAUGCAAUUAUGAAAGUAAAGCAAACUUUGUCAUUGGUAAAACUGCGUUAUAGACAGGAAGAAGAUAAAAGUGCAAAUUCUGCCCCACCCUCCAAGUGCCAUCCCCCAGGGAGAACCAGCGUUAAGGGCUGGUAUGUGCCCUUCUGAACCUUUUUUUCUGUGCAUAUGCACUCGGUUUUAUUCUUUUAAAAUAAGAUCAUACAAAACUGCUCAUAUACAGUUGUUUUUCUUUUUACAAAACAAGGUCAUUUUGCAUGUCCAAUGUUGCAUGUCCUUCUUUUUCAAACAACUUUUUUAUGUUAUGUAAAUUUACACACGCAUCUGACAUUAUACAAAAUGAAUCCAUACCAUUAAUGCAUUAUAUAUGGUACAAUUAUAGACUGUAAUUUACAACAACUGUUUGAAAAUAUGGACUAGUUUGCCUGAAAACACAGGGAUAUCUAAUUUGUACAUUUUAGAACAUGACUGAAAUAUCCCACUGAUUAAUUAGAAUAAUUUAAGAAUUUAACAUUUAAUAUGAGUUAAAAUUUUGUUUUGUUUUUUUGCUUUUUUUUAGGGCCACACGUGUGGCAGAUGGAAGUUCCCAGGCUAGAGGUAGAAUCUGAGCUGCAGCUGCCGGCCUACAUGGGGUCUGAGGCGGGUCUGUAAUCUACAGCUCACGGCAAUGCCGAAUCCUUAACCCUCUGAGCAAGCCUAGGGAUUAAACCCGCAGCAUCCUCAUAGUUACUAGUCAGGUUCGUUACUGCUGAUCCACAAUGGGAACUCUUAGUUAAAGUAUUUCUUAUUUAUUUUUAAUUAUUAUUAUUUUUGCUUUUUAGGGCCACACCCGUGCGGCCCUAAAAAGCAAAUAAAUAAAUAAAAAUAAAAUAAAAUGUAAAUUCCAGCUAGAACCAAGUGUGCUCUGAUGUUAAAAAAUCCUCUGCAGUGCAAGUCACCUCAAAUCCCUCUUGUUAGGAAACUGGGUGUGAACUAUAAAUAAAUUACACAAGUACAGGAGAAGAGAGAUAUGGCUUCUCUAUUACAGAUAUGCUGAAUCCAUUUAUUCAGCAUGUGUUUAUUGAAUGUCCAACCUGGGCUCGGCCUUGCUCUAGGUGUUGGGGAUUCAGAACAAGACAAAAUUGCUGCCUUCAGGAUGCUUGCAUUCUAGUGGGUGGAGACUCAUGCUUGGGCAAGCUCAGAGAUAUGAUGUGAUAUUGGGUGGUGAUAACUGCUGAAACCAAGAGCAGUGAACCAGGGUUCUCAAGAGAAAAAUCAAGUCGAGUCUAAAUUAAUUGAGUCACCUGUGUGUUGCAGUUGCCAAAAAGCCAAAUUCCAUCUGAGGCUGUGUGAACUGAAUGCCCAGCACCUAGCUUGGGUUCCCUCUGCCCUCAGAUUGUCAAGCUGGACCCAGAGUGUGGCAUCUACAUUCUAGAAGGACAUUGAGAAGUCUCAACUUGUUCAGGGGAGAAUGAUUAAGAUCACAGGGGUGGAAGUGCUGUAGCACCAUCCAGAAGACAGGACCAGGAUCUGUGGAUAUAGGUUUCAGGGAGGUAGGUUGAGGAAUUUUCUUAUGGUCCGGACUGACCAGUGAUGGAAUGGGCUGUGAGAGAGGAUGGGAGUCCAUCCUCCACAGUGCUUCAGAAGGGCCUGGAGGAGUUCUCACCGUGGUGCAACGGGACCUCCAGCAUCUCUAAAGCUCUGGGAUGCAGGUUCGAUCCCCCUGCGGGGCAGAGUGGGUUAAGGAUCUGGCAUUGCUGCCGCUGUGGCGCAGGUUGCAACUGUGGCUCAGAUCUGAACCUUGGUCUGGGAACUUCCAUAUGCCAUGGUGCAGCCGAAAAAAAGAGAAGAGCCUGGAUUCACCUAAGAGGGUAUCAUGAAUCUGGUGGAAGCUGGAUUCAAUCUGUACGGCUCCUUCAAGUUCCAGGUCAUAAUGUACAUGAGAAGAAGAAAGGAUUUUCUGCAUGUAACUUGCAGCAGAUAAUUUCAUAUCAGCCACAUAUUAUCUCCACAAUAGCCAACAACCACCAAGGGCUUAAGUAGCCUCUCAACAUGUGGAAAUCAGAAAUUCUGACAACUCUUUCACUCAUCACUUUAGUUAGGUUGGUGUCCAGAUCUGGG